rnacentral:rRNA from 1 species
ACAAUGGCGCAUACAAAGAGAAGGGACCUCGCGAGAGCAAGCGGACCUCUUAAAGUGCGUUGUAGUCCGGAUUGGAGUUUGCAACUCGACUCCAUGAAGUCGGAAUCGUUAGUAAUCGUGGAUCAGAAGGCCACGGUGAAUACGUUCCCGGGCCUUGCCACACCGCCCGUCACACCAUGGGAGUUGGACCAAAAGAAGUAGGUAGGUUAACCUUCGGGACCAGGCUUACUCAAUGUGAUAGUUU